rnacentral:rRNA from 1 species
GACGAACGCUGGCGGCGUGCUUAACACAUGCAAGUCGAGCGGUAAGGCCCUUUCGGGGGUACACGAGCGGCGAACGGGUGAGUAACACGUGGGUGACCUGCCCUCAGCUCUGGGAUAAGCCUGGGAAACUGGGUCUAAUACCGGAUAUGACUCCAUGACGCAUGUUGUGGGGUGAAAGCCUUGUGCGGCUGAGGAUGGGCCCGNGGCCUAUCAGCUUGUUGGUGGGGUGANGGCCUACCAAGGCGACGACGGGUAGCCGGCCUGAGAGGGCGACCGGCCACACUGGGACUGAGACA